rnacentral:rRNA from 1 species
CCUACGGGAGGCAGCAGUGAGGAAUAUUGGUCAAUGGCCGUAAGGCUGAACCAGCCAAGUCGCGUGAAGGAAGAAGGAUCUAUGGUUUGUAAACUUCUUUUAUAGGGGAAUAAAGGGAUCCACGUGAGGAUCUUUGCAUGUACCCUAUGAAUAAGCAUAGGAUAACUCCGUGCCAGCAGCCGCGGUAAUACGGAGGAUGCGAGCGUUAUCCGGAUUGAGUGGGGUUAAAGGGUGCGUAGGUUGUUUUUUAAGUCAGCGGUCAAAGUUUUUGGCUCAACCAUAAAAUUGCCGUUGAAACUGGCAGACUUGAUUGUGUUUGAGGUAGGCCGCAUGCGUGGUGUAGCGGUGAACUGCUUAGAUAUCUCGCAGAACUCCGAUUGCGAAGGCAGCUUACUAAGCCAUAACUGACACUGACGCACGAAAGCGUGGGGAUCAAACAGGAUUAGAUACCCCGGUAGUC